rnacentral:ncRNA from 1 species
CACUGCUAAAACAAAGCAUCAUGAAGGCCAGAGGCAGGUGUUGACGUAAUGUGAUUUCUGCCCAGUGUUUUGAAUGUCAAAGUGAAGAAAUUAAGUGAAGUGCGGGUAAAUGGGCAGAGCAAUCAUGGACAAGUAAAGGGGAUGGAAGAUUUAAG